GUCCGGGCCCACGGAGAGGACGGCGGCGGGCGGGGGUUGCUGCAGGGCCCGCACCUUGUCUUCCCCGCCGGCAGGGCUGUGCCCCGUCGAGACCUGCUCGGGCUGUGGCUCCGUCCUCCGGCCUCCAGGGGGCGGCGCGGCGCUGCGCGGCGCCCCGGCGGCCCUGCCCUCCCUUCCCAGCGGCCAGGAGGCGGUGCCCCGUGACGCCGCGCGGCCGCGCUGUAGUGGCCGUCGAGGCCGCCGUCUGUUCGAAGGCUGUCCGGCUUCACGGUUCCCCGCGGCUCGGCCCGGGGGCGUGAGUGUCGCCAGCGGGCGACGGGGUGGCGCGCGGCAGGCCCUGCAACAAGGCCAGGGCCUGGGGGUGCCGGCAGGAGAGCGAACGCGAGGCAUCGUGGUGCCAUGGCGGGGCCGCCCCCACGGGCAUGGGCCUGCAGAGCGUGGCCGUGAGGACGCUGAGGGUGGGCGCGCACGGAGCAGAGGCCCACGGGCGUCCGACGGGGGACCUGGACAGAGGGACACCCUUAACGUUAUUCCCUCUUCCCAGGCCUCAAUUGCAGUUCCUGUGCCCUGGCACUAAGACUGGCACCUCCUGCGGCCCAUGCCCUUCGCCUGCAUUGCCCACUGAGUCCCACUCGACUGUCUUCAGCGCGGUUCACACUGAGACCCAGCCCUCUCCCACUGGCCCCGAGCAGGCCCACCUUUAGGAGGGCGUGAUGGAAAGGCCCCUGGAGAAUGGGGAUGAGUCCCCAGACUCUCAGGGCCAUGCCACCGACUGGAGAUUUGCUGUGUGCAGUUUCAGGGAUGCCUGGGAAGAGGAGGAACCUGCUUCCCAGAUGCACGUUAAGGACCCAGGUCCUCCAAGACCACCAGCCGGGGCCACCCAGGAUGAGGAGCUACAGGGCAGCCCCUUGUCCAGGAAACUCCAGUUACCCCCAGCUGCAGAUGAGUCGGGUGAUGCCCAGAGGGGCACAGUAGAAAGCUCCUCAGUCCUGUCAGAAGGGCCAGGCCCCUCUGGAGUGGAGAGUCUCCUAUGCCCCAUGUCCUCCCACCUCAGCUUGGCACAGGGUGAGAGUGACACCCCAGGGGUAGGGUUGGUAGGGGACCCAGGUCCAAGCAGGGCGAUGCCAUCUGGCUUGAGCCCUGGGGCAUUGGACAGCGACCCUGUGGGCCUUGGAGACCCUUUAUCAGAGAUAUCAUCAAAGCUGCUGGAGGCAGCCCCCAGUGGAUCCGGCCUCCCUAAGCCUGCUGACUGCCUCCUGGCCCAAGACCUCUGUUGGGAGCUGCUGGCCAGUGGUAUGGCCACCUUGCCAGGGACUCGGGAUGUCCAAGGCCGGGCAGUGCUGCUUCUGUGUGCCCACAGCCCAGCCUGGCUUCAGUCUGAGUGCAGCAGCCAGGAACUCAUCCGCCUCCUGCUGUACCUGCGAAGCAUCCCCAGGCCCGAAGUACAGGCACUGGGACUGACAGUGCUAGUUGAUGCCCGAAUUUGUGCCCCAAGUUCCUCCCUCUUCUCUGGGCUCAGCCAACUACAAGAAGCAGCCCCAGGGGCCGUGUACCAGGUGCUGCUAGUGGGAAGCACGCUGCUGAAGGAAGUGCCUUCCGGGCUGCAGCUGGAGCAGUUGCCCUCUCAGAGCCUGCUGACCCACAUCCCAACGGCGGGGCUGCCCACUUCGCUAGGAGGAGGCCUGCCUUACUGCCACCAGGCCUGGCUGGAUUUCCGAAGGCGGCUGGAAGCUCUACUACAGAACUGCCAGGCAGCUUGUGCCCUGCUCCAGGGGGCCAUCGAAAGUGUGAAGGCUGUGCCCCAGCCCAUGGAGCCUGGGGAGGUCGAUCAGCUGCUACAGCAGACAGAGGUCCUGAUGCAGCAGGUGCUAGACUCGCCAUGGCUGGCAUGGCUACAAUGCCAGGGGGGCCGGGAGCUGACAUGGCUGAAGCAAGAGGUCCCAGAGGUGACCCUGAGCCCAGACUACAGGACGGCAAUGGACAAGGCUGACGAGCUAUAUGACCGGGUGGAUGGAUUGCUGCACCAACUGACCCUGCAGAGCAACCAGCGAAUACAGGCCCUAGAGUUGGUCCAAACACUGGAGGCCCGAGAAAGCGGACUGCACCAGAUUGAAGUGUGGCUGCAGCAGGUGGGCUGGCCAGCACUGGAGGAGGCUGGGGAGCCCUCGCUGGACAUGCUGCUCCAGGCCCAAGGCUCUUUUCAGGAGCUGUACCAGGUUGCCCAGGAGCAGGUCAGGCAAGGGGAGAAGUUUCUGCAGCCGCUGAUUGGCUGGGAGGCGGCUGAACUGGGCCCCCCUGGGGCACGCUUUCUGGCCCUGCGAGCCCAGCUGACUGAAUUCUCUAGGGCUUUGGCCCAGCGGUGCCAGCGGCUGGCGGAUGCUGAGAGGCUGUUUCAGCUCUUCAGGGAGGCCUUGACGUGGGCUGAGGAGGGGCAGCGAGUGUUGGCAGAGCUGGAGCAGGAACGCCCGGGGGUUGUGUUGCAGCAGCUGCAGCUGCACUGGACCAGGCACCCUGACUUGCCUCCUGCUCACUUCCGAAAGAUGUGGGCUCUGGCCACGGGGCUGGGCUCAGAGGCCAUCCGCCAGGAGUGCCGCUGGGCCUGGGCGCGGUGCCAGGACACCUGGCUGGCCCUGGACCAAAAGCUUGAGGCUUCACUGAAGCUACCACCGGUGGGCAGCACAGCUAGCCUGUGUGUCAGCCAGGUCCCCGCUGCACCUGCCCACCCUCCCCUGAGGAAGGCCUACAGCUUCGAUCGGAAUCUGGGGCAGAGUCUCAGUGAACCUGCCUGCCACUGCCACCAUGCGGCCACUAUUGCUGCCUGCCGCAGACCAGAGGCUGGAGGAGGUGCCCUGCCCCAGGCAUCCCCUACUGUGCCUCCACCAGGCAGCUCUGACCCCAGGAGCCUCAACAGGCUACAGCUGGUGCUGGCAGAGAUGGUGGCCACGGAGCGGGAGUAUGUCCGGGCUCUAGAGUACACUAUGGAGAACUAUUUCCCCGAGCUGGAUCGCCCCGAUGUGCCCCAGGGCCUCCGCGGCCAGCGUGCCCACCUCUUUGGCAACCUGGAGAAGCUGCGGGACUUCCACUGCCACUUCUUCCUGCGUGAGCUGGAGGCUUGCACCCGGCACCCACCACGAGUGGCCUAUGCCUUCCUGCGCCAUAGGGUGCAGUUUGGGAUGUACGCGCUCUACAGCAAGAAUAAGCCUCGCUCCGAUGCCCUGAUGUCAAGCUAUGGGCACACCUUCUUCAAGGACAAGCAGCAAGCACUGGGGGACCACCUGGACCUGGCCUCCUACCUGCUAAAGCCCAUCCAGCGCAUGGGCAAGUACGCACUGCUGCUGCAGGAGCUGGCACGGGCCUGCGGGGGCCCCACGCAGGAGCUCAGUGCGCUGCGGGAGGCCCAGAGCCUUGUGCACUUCCAGCUGCGGCACGGAAACGACCUGCUGGCCAUGGACGCCAUCCAGGGCUGUGAUGUUAACCUCAAGGAACAGGGGCAGCUGGUGCGACAGGAUGAGUUUGUGGUGCGCACUGGGCGCCACAAGUCCGUGCGCCGCAUCUUCCUUUUUGAGGAGCUGCUGCUCUUCAGCAAGCCUCGCCAUGGGCCCACAGGGGUUGACACAUUUGCCUACAAGCGCUCCUUCAAGAUGGCAGACCUUGGUCUCACUGAGUGCUGUGGGAACAGCAGCCUGCGCUUCGAGAUCUGGUUCCGCCGCCGCAAGGCCAGGGACACCUUUGUGCUGCAGGCCUCCAGCCUGGCUAUCAAGCAGGCCUGGACAGCUGACAUCUCCCACCUGCUUUGGAGGCAGGCCGUCCACAACAAGGAGGUGCGCAUGGCUGAGAUGGUGUCCAUGGGUGUGGGGAACAAGGCCUUCCGAGACAUUGCUUCCAGCGAGGAAGCCAUCAACGACCGCACCGUCAACUAUGUCCUGAAGUGCCGAGAAGUUCGCUCUCGGGCGUCCAUUGCCGUAGCCCCGUUUGACCAUGACAGCCUCUACCUGGGGGCCUCGAACUCCCUUCCUGGAGACCCUGCCUCUUGCUCUGUUCUGGGGUCCCUCAACCUGCACCUGUACAGAGACCCAGCUCUUCUGGGUCUCCGCUGUCCCCUGUAUCCCAACUUCCCAGAGGAAGCAGCACUGGAGGCUGAGGCAGAGCUGGGCGGCCAGCCCUCUUUGAUCUCCCUCCCUAGCUGCUGAGGACUCAGAGGUCUCGUCCCAAUGCCCAUCAGCCAGUGGCUCCAGUGGCUCUGACAGCAGCUGUGUGUCAGGGCAGGCCCUGGGUAGGGGCCUCGAGGACUUACCCUGUGUCUGAGCCCGGGACUGGACGAGCAGUAGAUCCAGCAGCCUGCAGCUCCAAGGAACAUUGCCUCUCUGGAUCUGCUGUGACCAGGGUGUGGCUGACACCUGGGCUACCUCCAACCUACGUGUGCAACGCUGUUGACUACCCUUUCUGAUGUGUGUGGCCAUUGGACUAACUGGCACGGGGCCUCUCUAGGGGAGUCUGGUUGUAGAGCCUGAAUAGGCUCUUGGCCCCAUGACCCCUUCUCCUGUCCCCAGCUCCCAUCCCAGUUGUGGGUUAAGAAUAGGCUAGAGCAGACAUUGGGUGUUUCCAUGCUGUAGGCUGGUGGGGGACCAUGUGCCUCUGGGCAGUGACUAGGGUGCCCCCACCCCUCAGGAAGAACACAGGUGGGCUCCUAGCAGCUGAUCCCCAAUGCCUGGCCUUAAAGCCGAGCUCAGUUACCAUAGGGACAGGUCCACCUCAACUGGGCCCUCAUGCUUGCCUUUCCUGGCCCCCAGGCCCAGCCCCUUUUUACUGGGGCAGUUUCGUUAUUUUGACUUGAUGCCUUUUGAAUAACUUUCAAUAGAAUUGUCUAAAAUUAUCUUACCGGUUGUUAGGCCUUUGGUGUCUCAGAGAAGGAGUCUAGGUCUUUGAUGUGUGAUUUAAUCUUUUAUUUGUUUAUAAUAAAAAAUAGACUGAUAUGUACCCUCUGAUGGGCACAUGCAUUCUGGGGCUAUCUCCAAUUAAAAUGAGACUUGGCGGGUGGGGCAUGAGGGGCUGCAUCUCUGGGCACCCUAGUCCUCUUGUAGGUACUUUCCCAGGAUGGAGUACGAGACAGACCUAGACAGGCCCCUCUGGAUGAGCAGGUCCAUGCAGCGGCCAUAUUUCCUGGCGAAGGGCAGUGUAAGCUGGAAGGAAAGGCCAGUCUUAUCCCUGAUUUCCUGGCCAGUUGUCUACUCUAGCUCCAUGUGGGUGGGGUUCUCCCAUUGGGGCAGGGACAGGGCAAGCCCGGCUAUUGGGGACUUUUGAUGCUCUAGGGCCCAGCUCUGCCCCAGGGCAUCUCACAGGGUGGGGCUAGAAAUGGCUAUCAGGGAACAAAGCAGAAAGACUGGAGGUUCAAAAAUAUGUUUCCUGCUACUGGUUUUCUGCUUUUUAGCCAUACAUGCUGACUUCACCUUUACAAACCACAUAUGAGCCAGAUGCCUAAUGGUAACUGGGUACUAGAGGGCUUGUGGUGAAAGGUGUUAUAAUAAAGCUCUUGAUUAUAGAA